AUACGGAAGGUCCGGGCGUUAUCCGGAUUUAUUGGGUUUAAAGGGAGCGUAGGCGGGAGCUUAAGUCAGCGGUUAAAUGGUGCGGCUCAACCGUGCCCUGCCGUUGAAACUGGGUUUCUUGAGAGUGCAAGAGGCGGAUGGAAUUCAUGGUGUAGCGGUGAAAUGCUUAGAUAUCAUGAAGAACUCCGAUUGCGAAGGCAGUCCGCUGGGUCACGUCUGACGCUGAUGCUCGAAGGUGCGGGAAUCAAACAGGAUUAGAUACCCUGGUAGUCCGCACGGUAAACGAUGAUUACCCGCUGUCUGCGGCAGACAGUCGGCGGCCAAGCGAAAGCGAUAAGUAAUCCACCUGGGGAGUACGCCGGCAACGGUGAAACUCAAAGGAAUUGACGGGG
rnacentral:rRNA from 1 species